rnacentral:tRNA from 1 species
AGUGUUGUAGCUCAGUGGUAGAGCACUUCCCUAGCAUGCAUGCAUGAGCCACUGGGUACAAUCCUCAGCACCACAU